rnacentral:sRNA from 1 species
UGGGUUCGUUGGGGUCGACCACGCAGU